GGUGGUUCAGUGGUAGAGCAUUUGUCUUGCAUGCAUGAGGCCCUGGGUUCAAUUCCUCAGCACCA
rnacentral:tRNA from 1 species